CCCGCCCCGCUCUGCCUCUGCCCGCCGGCCUCGGUGCUACCGCUGACCUUCCUAGAAUUGCCCGCUGGCUGGGCAGCCUGGGGGCCUGCAGGGGUUAUUCUGUCCUCUUGCUCUCUACCUGGACUGUGACAAAGGUUUCUGGGUUCGCACGCUUUGUUCUGCACUCCUCUCCACAAGCAGCAGUCCUGGCUGGCUGUCCCAGCUGCAUUUCAGUGUUCCCUGGAAGAUGGAUUGUAUGCUUCUUCCUCCCUUUAAAGAAAACCAGGUGGGCUUUGCUUCACCUCCAAGACAGACACCUCAGAGAUAAAGAUCACCCUCCUCACUGUUCCAUGCUGAGGGAAAAGCAGAGGAGUAAGCACAGAGAGAUGCAUCAAAACUACCUCUCCUGUGAAGAAAGGCUGAAGGAGUUGGGCUUGUUCAGCUUGGAGAAGGCUCCGGGGAGACUUCGUUGCAGCCUUGCAAGGGGAGAAUGACUUUCUAUGUGGUCUUGUAGUGAUUGGACAAGGGGGAAUGGCUUUAAGGUGAGGAUGGAUGGAAUCACCUGAACAGUUCCAGAUAGAAUUCCAUGCUCAAAAGCCACACUGUGGGCCAAACUGCAUUUCCAGAAAAGGUGUGUACAUCUUAAUCCUUUGUAAUUCAUUCUGAGUCAUUAGCCCUGUAGGAAUGAACAUCUGUGCUUGGCCUUUAGGGAACUGAGCUGGAGGCACCACUGACAGAAAGCAAAGAAAAUGAAGUCUGUAGCAGACCCAGUGCCACUCAGAAAUGUUUUAGUUGCUCAUCACUAUUCCUUUGCCUCGGGCUCUUUAGGACUGGUUUGACACUGAGUCCUCAGGUAGUGAAAUGCUGAAGUAAGCAGAACUGUGUCUGUAAUAUGCCUAAUAUAAAGGAACCUGUUCCUGAUUAGAUCCUUGAGUAGUGCUGGAGUAAUUGGUUCCUGCCUGGUGGCUCAUGUAUCAAGGGAAGUAUCUCCAUCCAUUUAGAUUCUCUGGCUCUGUAUUUGGGAGCUGUUAUUUGGGUCCCCUGGGAAUUUUCAGGUGCUGUCACACUGAACUGAAAUUCAUACCUGGAGUGCUUACCUGCUGCUAGCAGACACAUGCAGUUUGCAUUUCUUUCUGCCUCCCCAGCAGUAACAGCUGGCAACAGAAAACCAGUGGCUGUACUGCUGGUGCAGCACGCAAAUAUGUUCUGUGUUCAGACAGAAAUCUCAUCAUAGUGUAAAUCCAUUUCCUUGAGCUGUUACAGAACAAUUCCUCUCGCUGCCAGAACAUUGCCUGCAGAGGGCAGCACGACCUAGUGUUUUACUCUAGUGCUCAAGUGGAGAAUUCACUCAGCUGAUCGCAUCUCUGCCCAUCAGCGUCACUUGCUAUGGAAUAAACAACUGAAUAUUGUGGAGAAUCUGCAUCAGCCCAAACCUCAAAAGGCAUGUCCUGAGUCCGUGUGAAACAACCACCACAGUUUUAAUGAGAUUUUGCCUGAAAACGUGCCUGGAUGCAGGUGUGUGCUUUAACUGCAGAAAUGAUUGGUGCCAGGAUUGAGGCUGCACCAUGACGAGGGAUAAGGCAUUCAGUUCCUGAAGAAGAGCCAGUACUUUGUGUCUCUCAAAUCAAAUUGCAUCCAACAGCUGAUUAUGAAGUGAUCUUGAUAUGUGCUGAAGGGAGUCCUGUCUAUACUUCUCAGCCAGCAAGCCCUGUGAAAUGGUGAUCAGAAUAGAAAAUAAAUAUGAAGAAAAUAGCUUUUUAGGAAUGAAGAGAGCAUGAACAAUGUCUGAAUUCCAGGUGUGUGAGAAGAAACCUGAGUAUCCCUUAUGGACAAAUGUCAAGUACUUUAACACCAAUGAAGAUAAUUAAAUUCUUUGGGCCCAGACUUCUACUGCAUAAGCCUGGCUGUACAUGGCACAGUGUAUGUACUUCUUAGAGUGUGGCUCAUUAACAUCACAACUGUCAAUCAAUGAAUUUUUGCUGAUGGUUCCUACAACUUUCUCAACGUAUCAGAGUGCUGAGAGAUUUUAAUUCUGGUUUAUUCAUAAUAUUCUUUGAUAUUCUUGCUGUUAUUUGUGAACACUGUGCACUUUGGCCAUGAAAAUGCUUGUCACAAUUUACAUUGCUGUAGAAGAUACUCUAUAUAAAAAUGCUUCCACGUUUAA